AAAUUCCAGUCAAACCUGGAGAUAGCUGGUUCUCUCGGGAAUAGCUUUAGGGCUAGCCUGAAGUGAUGAUUAUUGGAGGUAGAGCACUGUUUGGACGAGGAGCCCCUCUCGGGUUACCGGAUUCAGACAAACUCCGAAUGCCAAUUAAUUUAACUUGGGAGUCAGAACAUGGGUGAUAAGGACCGUGUUCGAAAGGGAAACAGCCCAGACCACCAGCUAAGGUCCCAAAAUAUAUGUGAAGUGGAAAAGGAUGUGGAGUUGCCGAGCCAACUAGGACGUUGGCUUAGAGGCAGUCGUCAUUUAAAGAGGGCGUAAUAGCUCACUAGGCGAGUGACACUGCGCCGGAAAUGGGACGGGGCUGA
rnacentral:rRNA from 1 species